UGCUGGCACCGCUCCAGGGCCGGCACCGAUCGCGGUGCCCCGGGAGCAGCGGAACCGACGGAGCCUCACCCUGCGGCACCGAUUGGAGAGCUCCGAGAGCUGAGGCACUGACCGAGACCCCCCCCGCCGCACCGAUCGGGAUGCCCCGGGGGCUCAGGCACAGAUGGAGCAGCUCUGAGGCACCGAUCGGGGCGCCCGGGGCGGUGGGGCAGCGACGGAGCCCCCCCUGCACGGCACCGAUCCGGGUGCCCCGGGAGCUGAGGAAGAGACAGAGCCCCCCCGCCCCCGAUGGUACCUGCAGUGAGGGGAUUGCCCUCAUUACACAACAACCUCCAAGGGGAAAUUCAAACUGCCCUGGGCUCUUGGAAAUCAUCAGGAAUGGGUCGGAAGGUGAGACUUGUGGACUGUUCUUGGAAGACGAAGAAGAACAACUGACACGUGCCGAGGACGAAUCCCACUUUUGGCAUUGGGUACCUGACCAUGAAGAAUGUUCUGUCUGUCUGACAUGAAGGAUGUGACUGUCCUCCUGUGGGAGGUAUCCCAGGCUGGAGCAGGACAAGGAUUUGUUUCCCUGAGGGACAAGCAGGGAUGUGACGUGACUGUAAUUCCCAUCCUUCUGUGUCGCUUUGUGGGGAGCAAGGAGGGAGGAAAUUUGGGCUAAAAUGAAGCCCAGGAAGGAGAGAAUAGUGUGGUGAAGGUGCAUCUUUAGGAUCUGGUGUACUUCUCAUUCACUUGCUCUGCUUUGUUUGACAAUAAAUUCAAUUAAAAUUCAUUUUCCCCAUCCCAGCCUGUUAUGCCCGUGACAGCUGAGAGAUCUCUCACUGCCUUUAUGGAGACCCUCGAGCCUUUCCUGAUGUUUUCUGUUCCCUGCCCAGGGACAGGAGCAGAGGGACAGAGCGGUUCUGCUGGCACCGGGCACCUGGCCAUUCCCAGCCCAGCCCAAGAAUCCCUGCCAGAAUUCACUGCAGCAUUUCCCGGCCCCACGGCGGGUCCGGCUCCGCGGGCAGGCGGCUCCAGGAGUUGCAAGUGGGCAAAACGGGGCCGAGGGAGAGGAGGCAGGUGGUGCCCGUGGGUGAAAUGUCUUUGCUGCGAGCUGGCAGGGAGAGGAGGAGGGAGCAAUUGGUGCCAAGGAAAGGGGAGAGAAAGAGGGACAAGGCUGGAGCUUUGGAAGGCGGCGGGGAUGUCCAUGGGGCAGGCGGGCAUUUUGCUUUCCUCUAGGGAAAGAGAGGAAGAAAUAGCAGGUGGUCGGUAUCGUCGACAAUUGGGAUUCUUUUUAUCUGCCCGAACUGGAAAGGCUCAGUGGGUCUGGAGGGCUGCGGCGGGGGCACCCCUUUUCGGUGCCGCUGGGGGAGGCUCCGUCGCAUACUCAGCUCCCAGGGCAUCCCGAGGGAUGUGUGCCCUUGGUCGGUUCUUCUGCUCCCGGGGCACCGCGAUCGGUGCCGGGACGGGAGUGGUUUCCCCACCGGGUGGCCUCACCGCCCGGGCCGCGGGCCAAGCCACGCCCCUCGCUGAUUCCCCGCUCGCUGAUUGGACAAGGAGGUCAAAUCACGUUGUGCCUUCCGAGCGGCCUUUAAAAGCGCAGCGCCGGAGAAACCGGUCAGAGCUGGAGCGGAGCGGUGAGGGCGAGAGGCGCGCUCGGGUGUGCCCCGGCUUGAGGUCUGUGCGGGCGAAGGGGCCACGUGUGCCACCAGCGCGGCUGUGAAGCUGUUCCCGAGGCCGACCUCCGAAAGGCUUUUUCAGCACUCCUGAUGUCUCCGGAGCAAGGGGCUGUUUGUUCCCAGCAGAGAGAUGCCGGCUGUGAGCUGGAGGAGAGUGAAUUGUGCUCCCAUCAUGGAGUUGUGAAGGAGCUCCUGCAUCUCCAGGAGGGACCAGCAGCUGGGGUUCCACACUUGCCUGGAGUGCAAGAAGCCACUUGUCAUGAGCAGGGGGAUGCCACUUGUGAGUGUGCAGGGACUGAAGCUGUGGAGAAUGGAUUGUGCAGCAGUGAUGGGAGUGUGAGGGAGCCCCUGGGUGCUCAGGGCACAGCAGCAACUGGUAAUGCACACAGAAGGAUCCUCAGAAGAUUUCUGGGCAAGCGGUUCAGGUGCCGUGCCGUGCCCGUGUUGGUGCUGGUUGUGCUCGUGUUGCUGGUGCUGGCUUUGGCGGUGGCCUUGGCUGUGCAGUCAGCCCCACAGCUCCCAGUCACACCUGUGUCGCCGCUCUUGGUUUUGGCCUGUACCUCUGGCUGGGUUGGCUACAAUGGGCUCUGCUACUACUUCUCCAGGGAUUCCAGCACCUGGGAGCAGGGUCAGGAACGGUGCUCCGAGCUCGGGGCCUCCCUGGCCAUUGUCCAGGAUGAGGACGUGGGUUUGCUCUUCCGCCUCCGCGGGAACGUCGAUUACUGGCUCGGGCUGCGCAGACGGGGCCAGCGCCUGCACUGGGGGGACGGCAGCAACUUCAGCUCCUGGGUUCCUGUCCUUGGCAAUUCCGAGUGUGUGUACCUGGCUGACAAUAACUUCCGGAGUGAGGACUGCUCCAAUGAGCGGCCGUAUCUGUGCAGCAAGGCCCAAGCUCCCCUGUGACAGGGGCUGCAGAAAGGACC